rnacentral:misc_RNA from 1 species
GAAAUGCGAUACGUAGUGUGAAUUGCAGAAUUCAGUGAAUCAUCGAAUCUUUGAACGCACAUUGCGCCCUUUGGUAUUCCAAAGGGCAUGCCUGUUCGAGCGUCAUUUGUACCCUCAAGCUUUGCUUGGUGUUGGGCGUUUUUUGUCUUUGGCUCGCCCAAAGACUCGCCUUAAAACGAUUGGCAGCCGGCCUACUGGUUUCGCAGCGCAGCACAUUUUUGCGCUUGCAAUCAGCAAAAUAGGACGGCAAUCCAUCAAGACUCCUUCUCACGUUUGACCUCGGAUCAGGUAGGGAUACCCGCUGAACUUAAGC